UGCGUAGGCGGGCUAAUAAGUCAGUGGUGAAAUCUCUCGGCUCAACCGGGAAACUGCCAUUGAUACUGUUAAUCUUGAGUUCGGUUGAGGUAGGCGGAAUGUGUAAUGUAGCGGUGAAAUGCUUAGAUAUUACACAGAACACCAAUUGCGUAGGCAGCUUACUAGACCGACACUGACGCUGAGGCACGAAAGCGUGGGGAGCGAACAGGAUUAGAUACCCUGGUAGUCC
rnacentral:rRNA from 1 species